CCAGCAAUGCCGCGUGCAGGAAGAAGGCCUUCGGGUUGUAAACUGCUUUUGUACGGAACGAAAAGGUCUGGGUUAAUACCCUGGGCUCAUGACGGUACCGUAAGAAUAAGCACCGGCUAACUACGUGCCAGCAGCCGCGGUAAUACGUAGGGUGCAAGCGUUAAUCGGAAUUACUGGGCGUAAAGCGUGCGCAGGCGGUUUUGUAAGACAGGCGUGAAAUCCCCGGGCUCAACCUGGGAAUGGCGCUUGUGACUGCAAAGCUGGAGUGCGGCAGAGGGGGAUGGAAUUCCGCGUGUAGCAGUGAAAUGCGUAGAUAUGCGGAGGAACACCAAUGGCGAAGGCAAUCCCCUGGGCCUGCACUGACGCUCAUGCACGAAAGCGUGGGGAGCAAACAGGAUUAGAUACCCUGGUAGUCCACGCCCUAAACGAUGUCAACUGGUUGUUGGUCCUUAGCUGGAUCAGUAAC
rnacentral:rRNA from 1 species